UACGAGGGGGGCAAGCGUUGUUCGGAAUUAUUGGGCGUAAAGGGCGCGUAGGCGGUGCGGUAAGUCACCUGUGAAAACUCUGGGCUCAACUCAGAGCCUGCAGGCGAAACUGCCGUGCUGGAGUGUGGGAGAGGUGCGUGGAAUUCCCGGUGUAGCGGUGAAAUGCGUAGAUGAUCGGGAGGAACAGCCUGUGGCGAAAGCGGCGCACUGGACCACAACUGACGCUGAGGCGCGAAAGCUAGGGGAGCAAACAGG
rnacentral:rRNA from 1 species